GCUUUAAUACUCAUAAUAAAGUUUAACUUUCAUUAGA
rnacentral:tRNA from 1 species